UAUGGCAGAAUAGUGCAAUGGAUUUAAACCCCAUAUAUAAAAUAAAUUUUUAUUAAAA
rnacentral:tRNA from 1 species